rnacentral:rRNA from 1 species
UACGUAGGGGGCAAGCGUUGUCCGGAUUCAUUGGGCGUAAAGAGCGUGUAGGCGGCCAGGUAGGUCGGUUGUGAAAACUGGAGGCUCAACCUUCAGACGUCGACCGAAACCAUCUGGCUAGAGUCCGGGAGAGGAGACUGGAAUUCCUGGUGUAGCGGUGAAAUGCGCAGAUAUCAGGAGGAACACCGAUGGCGAAGGCAGGUCUCUGGGCCACUACUGACGCUGAGAAGCGAAAGCAUGGGGAGCGAACAGG